GGUGGUUCUCGGGUGAUGCACCCCGGAAUUGGGCUCCCUCUUCUUUGAUUCCAUCACCCAAGAACUACA
rfam:Myotis lucifugus cont2.44508, whole genome shotgun sequence.